AUUUUCAAUGUCCCAAAAUCUAAACCUUUGCCCACUACAGAAGCUUCAACAGUGUCCUACCUUCUACUCCACUUCUGUUUCUUCUUCAUGUUGUCUGCAUCUCUCCUUGAAAUACUGAACUAAACCCCCAAGCUUGUUACUUGCAGUUGGUAAAGAGAUACAUACAUAUAUAGAAAGGCUUCAAAAUGAGGGGUCCUUUGGGUGCAGUCAUAGGGAGGUACCCUUCAAGUGAUGGAAGCACUCAUUUGGGUGGAAUCAUUAAGCACAACAGAAAAUGCAGAGACAUAGCUGUUCUUAUUAUCUUUAUAGCUUUCUGGAUUGCCAUGAUUGUCAACUCCAGCUUUGCUUUCAACCGAGGAAACCCAUUAAGGCUUACUUAUGGGCUGGACUACAAAGGAAAUGUAUGUGGGCAGAAGCAUGCAGCUCAAGAUCUUCGAGAAUUGGAGCUCAAAUACUGGCUAAAUCCUAAUCAGGUUUAUCAAAGUGGAUUGAAGGACAGCCAAUUCAAACUUGCCAAUGCCCGCAGUAUAUGCUUGCUGGACUGCCCUAUACCUUCUGAAGAUUCACUUACUUGGGUGUGUGAUUAUCCUGAAGGAGAUAUUCGCGUUUCACUGAAUGAUUGGAUUGAUAUGAACUAUGAUUAUUUUGAGUUCCUUACGCCAGAAAUGAGAAACUCUUCACUUCAACUUCAGGGCCCUUGUUAUCCUGUCAUAUUUCCUAGUGUAAACGUUUACUGGAGUUGCCAAUUUAUCGCUAGAGCAUCAAAUGUAUCUUUAAAGCAUUGGCAGCAGAUGGGUGGAGUUAACAUCAAAGAAGACAUUAUUAUUGAUAAGUCCAUUCAUGAGUAUAUCAAUUCUCAGUCAGCUGUCUUAAAGAGAUACAUGGCUGACAUAGGAAAGUCAUGGCCUGUGCUGAUUGUUUGUGGGGGGAUUUUACCUCUGUUUCUGUCUGUGAUUUGGCUGCUGAUGAUUCGGCACUUUGUUGGUGCUAUGCCUUGGGUUACAGUGGUUUUGUUUAAUGUUCUAAUGGUAUCGGUUACUAUGUUUUUCUACCUUAAAGUUGGCUGGAUAGGAAAUGAUGCUAUUUCCCCCAUUAUUGGUGAGCAUGAUCCUUACAUUCAUGUAUAUGUGAGGGAGCUGACUCAUCUACGGGUUUUCACAGUCCUUAUGAGCUUUAUUAUGCUUGUUGCCAUUCUUACAUCAAUUGCUAUUGUUCGGCGCAUCCUCAUGGCAACUUCUGUCCUUAAGGUUGCUGCAAAAGUGAUAGGAGAAGUUCAAGCACUUAUUGUUUUUCCCAUCAUACCUUGUGGUAUCCUUGCAAUCUUCUAUAUUUUCUGGAUUUCUGCUGCUCUACAUUUGUUCAGCUCUGGUCAGGUUGUUCAGAACAACUGCAAUUCUAAUUGCUGCACAUAUGACCUCAUCGAGAAAAAGGUGAUAUGUGAUCGGUGUUGUGGAUAUAGCAUUCAUUACACGCCGCAUAUUGGAGCUGCCAUCCUUUUUCACCUAUUUGGCUGUUAUUGGGCUACACAAUUUUUCAUAGCUUGCUUGUCAACAGUGAUUGCUGGAUCUGUUGCUUCUUAUUAUUGGGCCCAUGGUGAAGCAUCUCCUGAAAUUCCCUUUCUUUCAGUAUUUUCCUCCAUGAAGAGGCUUAUGCUUUACAGUCUUGGUUCUGUGGCUCUUGGUUCUCUGACUGUAUCAUUUAUAGAGUCAAUCCGGUUUCUGCUCGAAUGUAUUCGCCGGAAACUAAAAGUCUCCGGUCACGUGCCUGAUAGCUGGAUUGGCAAAGCUGCUUACCAAUGUUCUCAAUGCUUUCAGAGAUGUAUUGGGUGGACCAUCAAAUCAGUGAACCGAAAUGCUUAUGUCAUGAUUGCUAUAACGGGUAAAAGUUUCUUUAAAGCUUCUGCUAUUGCAACCGAAUUGAUCAUGAGUAACAUCCUACGGAUUGGACGAGUGAAUGUGAUUGGAGAUGUUAUUUUGUUCCUUGGAAAACUAUGUGUCAGCCUCUCAAGUGUUCUUUUUGCUUUCCUCAUGUUGGACACACACAAGUACAGAUCCGCACAUAACAAGAUAUCAUCUCCACUUUUGCCUGUUGUGGUUUGCUGGGCUCUUGGAUAUGUUGUUGCAACCCUUUUCUUUGCAGUUGUAGAGAUGUCAAUAGACACUAUCAUUCUCUCAUUUUGUCAAGAUUCUGAAGAGCAUGGAACAGCACAGUAUGCUCCACCUCUUCUCAUUGAAACCCUGGGAGACCAAAAUGAGACUCAGAGACUUACACAAGGAUCCCAAUGAAGUAUUUUCUGUGAUGAAUUUUAACAGGGCUUCAGGAUUUAGAAUUUUGUUAAAGAUGUUUUAUCUCCCACUUGGCAUAGAGGAGCAUCUUAAAAUUACUUCAGCUUUAGAACUGCUAUGAGCUGAAGAUAUUGAGGCAGAGGGUCUUAGGAGGGGUGUAGCAGCCCUACUUGACGUUUCGUUGACAAUGGGAGAAGGGGUAGAUGUAACAGCUGUGACUGGUUGUAAUUCUACUUCAGGGACAUCAAUUAAUUGAUCAUCUUCUUCAAUAGACAACACAGUGCUUGUGUCUGUAUGAAUGGUGGAAUCAUCAGGGAACAUACCAUGUUUUCUCUUCCUCCUAGCUGCCUUACCCCAUCCAUGAAUUGUUUCUCUAAUCCUCUGUGGGAUUAAUGCUGCCUUGUAGUUUGUUCCCAUCUGAUAUAAACAUUGAAAAGCUGUUGUUGCAUGGAACAUUAUAGUGGAAAAAGCAAAAGCCCUUCACUAAUAUGAUUCAUUCAGUGUAUCAAA